UGAAGACACCUCCACAUCAAUGGUACCC
rnacentral:piRNA from 1 species